GACGAACGCUGGCGGCGUGCUUAACACAUGCAAGUCGAACGGUAAGGCUCCAGCUUGCUGGGGUACACGAGUGGCGAACGGGUGAGUAACACGUGGGUGACCUGCCCUGCACUUCGGGAUAAGCCUGGGAAACUGGGUCUAAUACCGGAUAGGACCGCACCGUGAGGGUGUGGUGGAAAGUUUUUUCGGUGUGGGAUGGGCCCGCGGCCUAUCAGCUUGUUGGUGGGGUAAUGGCCUACCAAGGCGGCGACGGGUAGCCGGCCUGAGAGGGUGGACGGCCACAUUGGGACUGAGACACGGCCCAGACUCCUACGGGAGGCAGCAGUGGGGAAUAUUGCACAAUGGGCGGAAGCCUGAUGCAGCGACGCCGCGUGGGGGAUGACGGCCUUCGGGUUGUAAACUCCUUUCACCAUCGACGAAGGGUUUCUGACGGUAGAUGGAGAAGAAGUACCGGCUAACUACGUG
rnacentral:rRNA from 1 species